rnacentral:misc_RNA from 1 species
AAGUCGUAACAAGGUUUCCGUAGGUGAACCUGCGGAAGGAUCAUUAGCGAAGUUCGGAAUGCCGGUUCGGUGCUGCAGCUGCCCAGCAAUGGGAUGUGCUCGUCCGGGCCGGUGUCCCUUCUCUAUUCCACCCCACUGUGAACCAAGCGUGCGAGCAGAAGAGAGAUCGGAAGCUCGCAUGCACACUUUAACAUACCCCUUAUGAAGUAUCUGAAUGUACCUUGCGUUAACUCGCACAAAUACAACUUUCAACAACGGAUCUCUUGGCUCUC